UAGGGAAUUUUUCACAAUGAGCGAAAGCUUGAUGGAGCAAUGCCGCGUGAACGAUGAAGGUCUUUAAGAUUGUAAAGUUCUUUUAUUUGGGAAGAAUGACUUUAGCAGGUAAUGGCUAGAGUUUGACUGUACCAUUUUGAAUAAGUGACGACUAACUAUGUGCCAGCAGUCGCGGUAAUACAUAGGUCGCAAGCGUUAUCCGGAUUUAUUGGGCGUAAAGCAAGCGCAGGCGGAUUGAAAAGUCUGGUGUUAAAGGCAGCUGCUUAACAGUUGUAUGCAUUGGAAACUAUUAAUCUAGAGUGUGGUAGGGAGUUUUGGAAUUUCAUGUGGAGCGGUGAAAUGCGUAGAUAUAUGAAGGAACACCAGUGGCGAAGGCGAAAACUUAGGCCAUUACUGACGCUUAGGCUUGAAAGUGUGGGGAGCAAAUAGGAUUAGAUACCCUAGUAGUCCACACCGUAAACGAUGGAUACUAGCUGUCGGGGCGAUCCCCUCGGUAGUGAAGUUAACACAUUAAGUAUCUCGCCUGGGUAGUACAUUCGCAAGAAUG
rnacentral:rRNA from 1 species